GCCCAGAUAGCUCAGUUGGUAGAGCAUGCGACUGAAAAUCG
rnacentral:tRNA from 1 species